GUUAUCUGAACCUUCGGGGAACGAUAACGGCGUCGAGCGGCGGACGGGUGAGUAAUGCCUAGGAAAUUGCCCUGAUGUGGGGGAUAACCAUUGGAAACGAUGGCUAAUACCGCAUGAUGCCUACGGGCCAAAGAGGGGGACCUUCGGGCCUCUCGCGUCAGGAUAUGCCUAGGUGGGAUUAGCUAGUUGGUGAGGUAAGGGCUCACCAAGGCGACGAUCCCUAGCUGGUCUGAGAGGAUGAUCAGCCACACUGGAACUGAGACACGGUCCAGACUCCUACGGGAGGCAGCAGUGGGGAAUAUUGCACAAUGGGCGCAAGCCUGAUGCAGCCAUGCCGCGUGUGUGAAGAAGGCCUUCGGGUUGUAAAGCACUUUCAGUCGUGAGGAAGGUGGUGUAGUUAAUAGCUGCAUUAUUUGACGUUAGCGACAGAAGAAGCACCGGCUAACUCCGUGCCAGCAGCCGCGGUAAUACGGAGGGUGCGAGCGUUAAUCGGAAUUACUGGGCGUAAAGCGCAUGCAGGUGGUUUGUUAAGUCAGAUGUGAAAGCCCGGGGCUCAACCUCGGAAUAGCAUUUGAAACUGGCAGACUAGAGUACUGUAGAGGGGGGUAGAAUUUCAGGUGUAGCGGUGAAAUGCGUAGAGAUCUGAAGGAAUACCGGUGGCGAAGGCGGCCCCCUGGACAGAUACUGACACUCAGAUGCGAAAGCGUGGGGAGCAAACAGGAUUAGAUACCCUGGUAGUCCACGCCGUAAACGAUGUCUACUUGGAGGUUGUGGCCUUGAGCCGUGGCUUUCGGAGCUAACGCGUUAAGUAGACCGCCUGGGGAGUACGGUCGCAAGAUUAAAACUCAAAUGAAUUGACGGGGGCCCGCACAAGCGGUGGAGCAUGUGGUUUAAUUCGAUGCAACGCGAAGAACCUUACCUACUCUUGACAUCCAGAGAACUUUCCAGAGAUGGAUUGGUGCCUUCGGGAACUCUGAGACAGGUGCUGCAUGGCUGUCGUCAGCUCGUGUUGUGAAAUGUUGGGUUAAGUCCCGCAACGAGCGCAACCCUUAUCCUUGUUUGCCAGCGAGUAAUGUCGGGAACUCCAGGGAGACUGCCGGUGAUAAACCGGAGGAAGGUGGGGACGACGUCAAGUCAUCAUGGCCCUUACGAGUAGGGCUACACACGUGCUACAAUGGCGCAUACAGAGGGCGGCCAACUUGCGAAAGUGAGCGAAUCCCAAAAAGUGCGUCGUAGUCCGGAUUGGAGUCUGCAACUCGACUCCAUGAAGUCGGAAUCGCUAGUAAUCGUGGAUCAGAAUGCCACGGUGAAUACGUUCCCGGGCCUUGUACACACCGCCCGUCACACCAUGGGAGUGGGCUGCAAAAGAAGUAGGUAGUUUAACCUUCGGGGGGACGC
rnacentral:rRNA from 1 species